GUAGGUGGCGAGCGUUGUCCGGAAUUAUUGGGCGUAAAGCGCGCGCAGGUGGUUCUUUAAGUCUGAUGUGAAAGCCCCCGGCUCAACCGGGGAGGGUCAUUGGAAACUGGGGAACUUGAGUGCAGGAGAGGAAAGUGGAAUUCCACGUGUAGCGGUGAAAUGCGUAGAUAUGUGGAGGAACACCAGUGGCGAAGGCGACUUUCUGGCCUGUAACUGACACUGAGGCGCGAAAGCGUGGGGAGCAAACAGGGAUUAGAUACCCUGGUAGUCCACGCCGUAAACGAUGAGUGCUAAGUGUUGGGGGGGUUUCCCGCCCCUCAGUGCUGCAGCUAACGCAUUAAGCACUCCGCCUGGGGAGUACGGUCGCAAGACUG
rnacentral:rRNA from 1 species